AGUGGCGGACGGGUGAGUAACGCGUAGGAAUCUACCUGAUAGUGGGGGAUAGCCCGAAGAAAUUCGGAUUAAUACCGCAUAAUCUAUUCGUAGUAAAGUGGGGGACUUUCGAGCCUCACGCUAUCAGAUGAGCCUGCGUAAGAUUAGCUAGUUGGUAGGGUAAAAGCCUACCAAGGCGACGAUCUUUAGCUGGUCUGAGAGGAUGAUCAGCCACAUCGGGACUGAGACACGGCCCGAACUCCUACGGGAGGCAGCAGUGGGGAAUAUUGGACAAUGGGGGCAACCCUGAUCCAGCAAUACCGCGUGUGUGAAGAAGGCCUGAGGGUUGUAAAGCACUUUCAAUUGUGAAGAAAAGCUAGUGGUUAAUAGCCAUUAGCCUUGACGUUAACUUUAGAAGAAGCACCGGCUAACUCCGUGCCAGCAGCCGCGGUAAUACGGAGGGUGCAAGCGUUAAUCGGAAUUACUGGGCGUAAAGCGUGCGUAGGCGGUUUAUUAAGUCAGAUGUGAAAGCCCCGGGCUUAACCUGGGAACUGCAUUUGAAACUGGUCAACUAGAGUAUGGUAGAGGAAAGUGGAAUUUCUGGUGUAGCGGUGAAAUGCGUAGAUAUCAGAAGGACAUCAAUGGGCGAAGGCAACUUUUCUGACAUUACUGACGCUGAAGUACGAAAGCGUGGGUAGCAAACAGGAUUAGAUACCCUUGUAGUUCGCG
rnacentral:rRNA from 1 species